GCUGUCUCCACCCGAGACUCAGUGAAAUUGAACUCGCUGUGAAGAUGCAGUGUACCCGCGGCAAGACGGAAAGACCCCGUGAACCUUUACUAUAGCUUGACACUGAACAUUGAGCCUUGAUGUGUAGGAUAGGUGGGAGGCUUUGAAGUGUGGACGCCAGUCUGCAUGGAGCCGACCUUGAAAUACCACCCUUUAAUGUUUGAUGUUCUAACGUGGACCCGUUACCCGGGUUGCGGACAGUGUCUGGUGGGUAGUUUGACUGGGGCGGUCUCCUCCUAAAGAGUAACGGAGGAGCACGAAGGUUGGCUAAUCCUGGUCGGACAUCAGGAGGUUAGUGCAAUGGCAUAAGCCAGCUUGACUGCGAGCGUGACGGCGCGAGCAGGUGCGAAAGCAGGUCAUAGUGAUCCGGUGGUUCUGAAUGGAAGGGCCAUCGCUCAACGGAUAAAAGGUACUCCGGGGAUAACAGGCUGAUACCGCCCAAGAGUUCAUAUCGACGGCGGUGUUUGGCACCUCGAUGUCGGCUCAUCACAUCCUGGGGCUGAAGUAGGUCCCAAGGGUAUGGCUGUUCGCCAUUUAAAGUGGUACGCGAGCUGGGUUUAGAACGUCGUGAGACAGUUCGGUCCCUAUCUGCCGUGGGCGCUGGAGAACUGAGGGGGGCUGCUCCUAGUACGAGAGGACCGGAGUGGACGCAUCACUGGUGUUCGGGUUGUCAUGCCAAUGGCACUGCCCGGUAGCUAAAUGCGGAAGAGAUAAGUGCUGAAAGCAUCUAAGCACGAAACUUGCCCCGA
rnacentral:rRNA from 1 species